UACAAAACAAGAGUAUUUUAUAUAGCAUCUCGCUUCAGAUUCUAUCAUUAUCAAAGCUACAGGUUGACUUUAUAACGUAAAAAAAUGACAGUACGAAAAGAUGAAAUAUAUGGUUUUAUUGAGAUACCUAUCUAAUGAAUCACAAAAACAGAGUAGGUGUGUUCGAAUAGCUAUUUUUUCUAAAAGUACUUGACGACAGUCUUUUAAUUUGGAUGAUGAAAAUGUGUGUGUGAUAACUAGGGUUUAUAAUCUUCAAC
rnacentral:lncRNA from 1 species